rnacentral:rRNA from 1 species
GAGAGCGGCGUACGGGUGCGGAACACGUGUGCAACCUGCCUUUAUCAGGGGGAUAGCCUUUCGAAAGGAAGAUUAAUACCCCAUAAUAUAUUGAUUGGCAUCAAUUAAUAUUGAAAACUCCGGUGGAUAGAGAUGGGCACGCGCAAGAUUAGAUAGUUGGUGAGGUAACGGCUCACCAAGUCAGUGAUCUUUAGGGGGCCUGAGAGGGUGAUCCCCCACACUGGUACUGAGACACGGACCAG